UACGUAGGGGGCAAGCGUUGUCCGGAUUUAUUGGGCGUAAAGAGCGUGUAGGCGGCCAUACAGGUCAGCUGUGAAAACUCGAGGCUCAACCUCGAGACGUCGGUUGAAACCGUAUGGCUAGAGUCCGGAAGAGGAGAGUGGAAUUCCCGGUGUAGCGGUGAAAUGCGCAGAUAUCAGGAAGAACACCCGUGGCGAAAGCGGCUCUGUGGAGCGGUACUGACGCUGAGACGCGAAAGCGUGGGGAGCGAACAGG
rnacentral:rRNA from 1 species